rnacentral:lncRNA from 1 species
GGAUGUGAAGGUGAUCUGGUUGCAACAUCUGUCACCCCAUUGAUCACCAGGGUUGAUUCGGCUGAUCUGGCUGGCUAGGCGGGUGUCCUCUUCCUCCCUCACCGCUCCAUGUGCGUCCCUCCCGAAGCUGCACGCUCAGUCAAAGAGGACGACCAUCCCCGAUAGAGGAGGACCAGUCUUCGGUCAAGGGUAUACGAGUAGCUGCACUCCCCUGCUAGAACCUCCAAACAAGCUCUCAAAAUC